AGUGCGAGCGACCCCGGGCCGGCUGCGUGGAGCUGGCGCUGCCUCUCCUGAAGCCGAGGCGCUAACUUGAGUGAAGAGGUCUAUAGGCUUUUUCACUUUUGGUUAUCUGCUCAGGCGCUCCUUGGGGUCGCGCAUGGUCUCGGACAGGGUUUGCAAGGACUUCGGAGCUAACCAGUUUGGAGCCAUAACCCUUUCGUACUUGCCAAAAAACUCUGGGCAAGACUCUUGAAUUUUGAGCCGCAGUAUUCUCGUUCAUAAGGUGAGAAUAAAAACAUCACCUAGGGUUGAUGUGAAGAGAGAUGAAAUCAUUGUGAAAUAGGAGAGUUAUUGCUUUCAACCAAUGACAUUUUCUGGAAACGUGCUGGAGAUAUGGCUGCAGCAGUGACGCCUGCAAACGACGUUCCUGUCAUCAUGAUGCUGACAUUUUAAUUGGGAAGCAGAUUGAAACGAUAACUAAGGAAUUUGACAGGAGCAUUUAGUAGGACCUGUAAAGAAAUUAAAGCAGGUCCGAGGUGGAGUUUUGUAAACUAUAUGCCUGAAUAGAACUUUCUGUUUCCAAGGGAAUUGUUACAGUUGGAGACAUGUCAAUUAUUACAAUAAGCGUCAAGGGCAAUAACAGAGGUGUUUUAAAGCUA
rnacentral:lncRNA from 10 species